UAAAACUUCAUUUUUUCAUAAUAUAACUAUAGUAUUAAAUUUAAAUUCAAAAUUUAAUUAUUUUAAAAUACAAUAUAUAAUAUAAAUGCUAAACUUCAUACACUAAAUCAUAAAUCUACACCCUAAAUCUAAUCUCUAAACCCCAAAAUUAAACUCUACAUACAAAGUUAUAAAUUUAAUCUUUUCAAUUUAGUAAAUCACACAACAUCAAAACUCAAAUACAAAAAUAUAGAUUUCAAAUUUUAAAUUAUAAUAUCAAAUUAAUUAAAGUUUAGCUAAUUUAAUAAUAACUAUAAAUAAAUAAAAAGGUAAUAUGUAUUGUUUUUUGAGCCAUUGAUUGAUUUAGAUCAAAGGUCCAAAAUCAUUCUUUCAGCUAUCCUCAUCUUUUUUUUCUAUUGGUUUGGCAUGGAUCACCUUUUCCACCCUUGGAUAAUAUUGAAUCAACGUUCAAGAUUAAUUGUAGUUUUACAUUUGUUUUUUAAUUAUUUUUGAGAUCUGAGAUCUCGUGUUUGAGAAGAGAGAGAGAGUUACAGAAGCGAAAGAUAUAGAGAGAGAUGGAGUUCGAGAUGGUAGAGUUGUGUCGGAGAAGACAUGGGAAGGGGCUCGAUUCCGUCGCACUCCCUUCGAUUCCGUCGCAGUCUUCACCACCACCACCAUGGUCACCUCUCUCUCUCUCUCUGUUUUGAUUAUGUUUUUCUUUGUGGGCAGAGCUGGUGGUCGUGAGCAGAGGAGACAAUACGGUGGUACCCAGGACUGGUAUGUCUCUGGUCAAGAUCUGCGUUGGCUUCACCUCCUCACCACCACCACAGAUUUGUUAAGGAGCAGGGAAGUAAAAUCAGUGGUGUGACAUAGCGGCGACUUUGGUCAAGCGUGAUGCAGCAGUGGUGCAAGCCGGUGGUGGGGUGGUGGUCGUGCGGUGUAGAUACGGCAGGGACUGAAGAAGAUCGUCUGAUUGUAGUUUGGUGGGUGUAUAAGUUUAUUAGGUUUAGUUAGGGUUAAUUACUAAACCAAUUUGUAACUGUAAACCAAUGUAAUUGUAAACCAAAAUUCAAUUUACAAAAAUACCAAUUUAUUAUUUUUAGUCAA